rnacentral:lncRNA from 1 species
AUUCUCGAUGAGCGCGUUGUAGAUAAUCUUCAGAUUGUAAUUCCUCUGCGCGUCCAGUGUCCUAUUCAGCACCACCACUAAGACCUGGGUUUGCGGGUAGAGGAAAAAACCGGCUACAGGGACAGCCCCGAACGCCCGGUCCUCGGCCAGCUGCACUUUCUCCACCGCCACUCGGGAAGCGUGCAGCACUACGUAGCGGGUGGCGUUCCGGCACGCGAUCUCCACGUUGACCUCCCCGGAGAAGGUGAAGUUCUCCAUGAAGGCGGUGAGCAUCAGAUUGUAGUGCAGCGGCUUCAGGUGGCCCGACAGGCGCAGCUGCGUCCACGGCUCCCACGGCUCCCGCUCCUCCUCCGACGGCGGCUGGGCCGACGUGGUCCCCGGACUGGCCACCCCACCCGCCUCGGGCUGCCAGGAGUCCCCGCCUGCGUGGUGGUUGCGCCGGGCCGAUCCAGGGAGGCUCCCGUUGCCGCCGCGCUCCGGAAAGCCUGAGGGGCCACCGUCGGCGCCUGGCGUGGCACUCGCCCCGCACUCGUCGAAGCGCAGGCUGAGCAGCACAGCGAGCAUUGUGACCGCGAGCAAUGCCACGAGGGACACAGCGAAGGCCAGCACAAGCCGCUUGUGUACGGCGAUGUGGCGCUCCGUGGUGCGGGGUCGCACUCCCACUGAGUCUGCCCACGGGUCGGAGAGCCCCCUGCUGCCAGCCCGAAGCGCGGCGUCGUCUUCCCCCAUCGCGGCUGCGAAGGCGGCGGCGUUCGGUCCUCUGGGUGGAAUGUGCUCGCAGCAGCAGUGACGGCGGCCACAGCACGGGAGGCACCCGAGCCAUACACCCUGCAGCUGGAGAGAAAAGGAUGGCCGAGGUGGGAGAGACUAGAGUGAACCAGCAGGAGGAAGUCCCAGGGCCGCGAAGCUACGACGGAGAUCCGUCCUGGAAAAGCCUUCUCCACCCUGGGCACUUUAAGCGGCGGUGGCGGCAAACGGCAGGAGGUUGCAGACCCGACAGCGAGACUCCCUCAUUCCAGUCUUGCUCUGCCCUCCGGAGAUGACAAGUGAGAAAGAAGUGUCCGGCCGGGCCAUCCCCUUCAGAGAAGCAACCACUUCACAAGAAGAUUCUGAAGUUGGCCAUUUUUGAUCCCAGAACAGUUUCUCAUAGAUUAGAAAUAUUGGAGUCUACACAAAAAUCGAUAUUCAUUUACAAGAUCAUCACUAAACUUAUCUUGCAUAACGUCUCUGCCAGCCACAUUAACUGCCUGCAGAAAAGUUUGUUAUGACUGCCUGGUUUUGUAAAGUCCAGACAACUUUACACUAAGCUGAAUAAUGUUCAUUUACUCAAAAGCUAGUCUAAAAUUGUAGAGUUAAUGAACACUAAACCAAAGUUAGUGCUUUAACUGAAAGAUAAUUUACUGUACCCUUUGGAGUCCAGUCCGGUACCAUCAAGAUCUGGGAAAAUACAACUGGUAAGCACUUUAACUUUUUCUCAGAAAAUCAUUAUCUACUUCCUUCAUACUUACUUAACAUCUCAAGAAAAGGAAAGAAAGGGGGAAAAUAUCUAAAAUUUUAAUCUAAAUCUUUCUUAAACUGUGCAUUUCAAAUACAUAAAAUACUGUGUGAAAGGGUGUUAAAAGUAGUAUCUAGAAAUGGCUUCCAACUCUAUAACUUGGUGUAAGCCUUGUGGAAAGUAAUUUACCAACGACUGUCAAAAUUCACAAAUCUAAAGACUGUAGCAAGACUCUUGAGAUACCUUGUAACUAUUGGCAUGAUUCCUUUCUACUACAAUGAAAGUUUCUUCAGGGCAGGAAACACAUAUAUUCAUUUCUGUAUCCACAGAGUAAGCAAAGAUUCUGGGACAUACUGUCCUUCAUACGCGUAUUUCGAAUGAACGAAGGCUCCAUUUGGUAGUAUUUAUCAUCAGCUUCUUGGCCCUUACUACUCCCUUCUUUCAUUUAAAGCUUAUGUCUUAUGUCCUCUUCCCUGCCCAGCACUCUUUUUGGCUGUAUGCCUGAUAAGGGUGCUCUUCAGCUUGGCCUCCUUUGACUCUAUUCCUUCCCUGUUCUACUUUUAGAGUCUCAAUAAACUCUUGUUUCUUAUAGUGG